rnacentral:rRNA from 1 species
UACGAAGGGGGCGAGCGUUGUUCGGAUUUACUGGGCGUAAAGGGCGCGCAGGCGGCCGCAUUUGUCAGGCGUGAAAGCCCCGGGCUUAACCUGGGAACUGCGUUUGAUACGGUGUGGCUAGAGUCCGGGAGAGGUGAGUGGAACUGCGAGUGUAGAGGUGAAAUUCGUAGAUAUUCGCAAGAACACCAGUGGCGAAGGCGGCUCACUGGCCCGGUACUGACGCUGAGGUGCGAAAGCGUGGGGAGCAAACAGG